rfam:Nadsonia fulvescens var. elongata DSM 6958 unplaced genomic scaffold NADFTscaffold_7, whole genome shotgun sequence.
GGCCCGAUGGUUUAGUGGUAUAAUUCUCGCUUAGGGUUUCUUAUAUAUUCUGAAUGCGAGAGGUCCCGGGUUCAAUUCCCGGUUGGGCCC